rnacentral:rRNA from 1 species
UACGUAGGGUGCAAGCGUUGUCCGGAAUUAUUGGGCGUAAAGAGCUCGUAGGUGGCGGGUCACGUCGGGUGUGAAAGCCCGGGGCUUAACCCCGGGUCUGCAUUCGAUACGGGCUUGCUAGGGUCCGGCAGGGGAGACUGGAAUUCCUGGUGUAGCGGUGAAAUGCGCAGAUAUCAGGAGGAACACCGGUGGCGAAGGCGGGUCUCUGGGCCGGUACCGACGCUGAGAAGCGAAAGCGUGGGGAGCGAACAGG